UUUGUGUUGUGUUUUUUCUCCUAUGUUUGUCAUUCAUUGGUCAGUCAGUAGGAAGAACGACGUUAGCUUGACUAGCUAGGUUCCGAGGGGAAAACCGCUAAGUUGUGAUUACAGGUAGCAUAAUUGGUGCUUCAUACUCUAAUCAGCAGCCUGCGCAAGGAUAUUACUUCUACGUGUUUGUGUUUAAUCUCUGUGAUUAUGUAUCGCCUAAGGUAGCCGUACAUAAAGUAAUUUGGCUUUUUCGGUGAGAGGAAAUGCAUGUUAGCCACUGUGGAGCUGAAGCAGCUAACUAGAGACUUUUAAACCUAUAAAAAUCCAUGGUUCAGCUUUGGACCGGGAGACUACAGCUACAGAGUGGACCCAGAACUACUGGCAAGGCAAUAAGACUCUGCUCUGCUACUGUUUACAUUUUUUAUCAAUACACUUUAUUUGAUCAGAGGUUGACUUAUGUCUGAUUCCAGUUUCAGGCAGCAGAAAAACAGAAGAUCCAGGUUAUAUUACUGGAAACCUACUGGAACAUGUGAAGUUUGAAGACAAGGAUUGUAAAAAGGAGGAUCCGGGGUGGAGUGAGGAUGUCUGACGUGAUGAAGGUUGAAGCAGUUCAUCGGAUGUUUAUGAUUAAAGAGAUUCCCCAUGAUUGGACUCCUAGUUUGGACAGUGAGAAUCCAGAAGCCCACAUGAAGGAGGAAGAGAAGAGACUGUGGAUCAGUCAGGAAGAAGAGUUGCUUACUGUGAAGAUUAAAGAUGGAGAGAAACCUCAUUUAUCAGAGCUUUAUCAAAUCCAAACUGAAGAACAUCUAGAGACAGAAGUUCCAACCAGCAGUUCACCUGAACCUGUUGCAGAGAACUUUAGGAGGCCAGAACCAGACAGGGACCCAGAACCUGGAUGUCCCUCCCAGCAAAGUAACAUGGCAGAUGGGGAGAAAUCAUUUGGUUGCAAUUUGUGCGAUAAAAGAUUCAGACGUAAGCAUUUUGUUAAAUUACACAUGAUGACUCACACAGGAAAGAGAGAGCAUAGUUGUGAUCUUUGUGGUAAAGGAUUUGUAGGAAAGCAUUCUCUUCAGACACAAUAUCCACCCCAGAGAGAAAUCUUUUGCCUGUGAUGUUUGCUGUAGAAGGUUUCAUGCAAAGACGAGUCUUAGACAAGAAGGUCCACUCAGAAGAAAAACCUUUUUCAUGUGAUGUUUGUGGUUCAUGAUUCUGGUUAAAAUAAAUUUUUAAAAAGCACAUACAGAUCCAUUCCACAGAGAAACCAUUUGUAGUGUUUGUAGAAAACGGUUUUUGCGACAAGGAAAUCUAAAGAGUCACAUGCAUAUUCACACCGGAGAGAGACCGAUUAUUUGUAGUGUUAGUAGUAAAGAAUUUUCUCAACUAAUUCAUUUGAUGAGUCACAUGCGUGUUCACAUGGAAGAGAAACCAUUGAUUUGUGGCUUUUGCUACAGAAGAUUUUCCCAUUCAAUUAGUCUAAAGAGUCACAUGCCUGUUCAUACAGGAGAGAAACCGUUUAUUUGUAAAUUUAAUCAGUUAAUUUUUCUAAAUUGUCAACAAGUCUUUAAUCCAUCUCUGCAUUAUGUGAUCACAGUUUUGUUUAGUAGCAGUACUAAAUUGCACUUUGAAAUAUUGGGUGAAUUUAGAGGCUUUUAUUGCGAUAAAAAAGGUCAUUUCUAUUUUGUUUAAGCUGCAAAGAACUCAUGUUGGGUUAUAUAAACAUUGUUCAAAGUUAGCCGAUCAUUCUGUACUAAAAAAACACUUCUGAGAUUUUAUUUCCUCCGAGAAAACAAAACGAUUGAAUAAAACUGUUUAAUGAUCUC